CCAAGGCUUUGGUAAAGUGAGGACAGGAAAGGCCUGAGCAGAGACUUUGAAAAAAUGGAUAAGAUGUGGGAGGCGUGAAGCAGGAGAGGGCGGGAGUCAAGGGUGAGUCUGGGUAUCUGGGGGAGGGGGCAGGUUGGGGAUGCCUCGGCAGGAAGCUCAGGUCUUUUGAGCAAAAUUUGAGGGCACAAAGACCUUCCAGGUCCCUCAGGUCAGCUCUGGUGUCAUUUCUACUACCUGGAACGGUGCUGAGUGGGAAGGGGAUGGGUGGAGCUGUCCUGUGAGAAAAAGGAAGAGAAGUCAGUUCCUUACGAAUAAGAGGCCCUGCCUCACCUUCACCUGUGUUCUGGGCCCUGAGGGGGAGAAGGUUUGCCCCUGAGACCUUGUCAAUGCCCAGAGGGUCGCUGGAGGGUGAAGUUCCUCCAAAAAUCCACGUUCUGAUUCUUGCUCAGCUGCACACAUCACACACCAUGGAUGGCAGGACCUCCUCCUCUCUCUGAAUAUCUUUUAUUUUUCUUGGGAUAUAACAUACAUAAAGUACAUAAAAUCCUCUAAUCUUAAGAUAUAGCUUGCUGAAUUUUUGCCCACAUCAUCACCAUCCAGACUGAGAUAUGGACCUUUGCCAGCACCCCAGAAAAUUCCCUCCUGCUCUUCUCCUAUAUCGAUGCCCUCCUCUGACCCAGGCAGUGUGCAAGAAUUUCGGUCGCUCCACACCCUUGCCAACACUCAGCCUUUCUCUUUUCUAAACAAGAGUUUCCACUAUGAGACUCCUCUUUUCCUCCAGUGUUGGAUAUUGGGUGCGCCUGGCAUGAUAGAUCCCUCAGUCCAGAGGCAGCAAGACAGAAGUCACAUCUAGUGUGAGUCUUACCUCCAGGGGGAAUGGUCAUCUCCGUGAUGUGGAUGGGACUCCAGGAACUGGGGUGGCCAUUUUAUGACCGCUCUCAUCCAAAACCAUGACGUGUGUGCUGUGUGUCGAUGCUACCAAAAUAUGUGUCUCCAGCCCAGACCUCUCUUCGGAGCCCCAGUCUCAUAUACAACGGCCUAUUGACCCUCUCAAUCCAACCAUUGCCCAGGCUUUUCAAACUUGCCUUCUUAGCCAAACUUAAUCUUUCCCCCCAAUCUGAGACUUCUGCAGGCUUUACCACCUUAGUCAAGGACUCUUUCAUUCCUGCAUACCCGAGGCAAAGAUGGCGGUGUCAUCGCUGAUGCCUCAACAACCACCCACAUCCCAUCUGAGAUUCUUUGCAUCUCCACCUCCCCAAGCCACGAUCUUGCCAGGGUCACAGGUUUGCAUCAGGAAACCUUCAGCAGCCUUCUAACUGGUCUCCCCACAACCCCUGGAAAGUGUUUUCUGAGCCAUGAAGCCAGGGUGGCCUUUUAGAAACCCAGACCUGGUAUGAUUCCCGUGAUGCAAAUGGCUCUCCUUACUCUCAAGAUAAAAUCCAAAUUCAUUAGGUAGCACUAUCUGUUCUAUUUGCUCAUUCCUCACCCUCACUGGCUCCUUCCCUCCUCCACAACAUCUGGGACAAGUGGUUCUUUCUGCCUAGAUCAUUGCCCCUCUCAGUCUUGCCCUGAACAACUCUUGACUAUCCUUGGUUUUUCAGCCUAAAUGCCAGCUUCCCAAGGAGAGCCCACCCUCACUCUUCACCCUACAUUUGUUGCUGUUGCUUAGUUGCUACUUUGUGUCCAAUCACAACCCCAUGGACUGCAGCCCACCGGGCUCCUCUGUCCAUGGGAUUUCCCAGGCAAGAAUACCUAAGCUGGUUGCCAUUUCCUCCUCCAAGGGAUCUUCCUGACCCAGGGAUUGAAUCUCUGGCAUCUUCUGCAUCGGCAGGAAGAUUCUUUACCACUGAGCCACCUGAGAAGCCCUCACCCUACAAUAAGUCUCCAUUAAUUUUUCAUAACACUCUUCAUCCCCCCUCAGCACUUCCCAUCAUGCAUAAUCAUAUAUUGAUUUGAUUAAAAUUAUUAACAGUGAUCAUCUUGAUGU